GCCCGAGCCUCCCAGGCACAGCUCCGCGCUUGCGCUGCACCUGCUGGGGCCGCGGCAACUUCUCAAACCUCCGGCUCGGCCAGUGCUGCGGCCGCGCUCUCACGCCGCUCCUUCGCCUACUCUCAGCCUCGCUUUAGAGAGUGUGCACGGACGCGGGAUUUCAACCACCUGCUGCUUGGCGAUCCCCUCCCCAAGAGAGAGGGCGGAGGGACCGCCAGCGCAGAAACCCGCUUACCUUUCUCAGCAUCCCUCCACGUCAGCGGGGUCUCCGGCGGGAUCGCCCACCCCGCGCCGAGCUCGGGUGGGUAGGAGGUCACGGGGAAACAGAAGGGGAACUUGGCCCCGGCGGGCGCCGCCGCGAGGACACCUGCGUCCGCGUCAUUCGCACGACAAAGUGGGGACCUUCGGCUGCUUGGGCGGGAGACGGUGAACCGGUCCGGCUGCUACUUUCCCGGCCGAGUUCAGACGGGCUGCGAAGGGCUGUUCAGACGCCACGUUUCCGGAGCGACCAACAUACAGGGACUCCUCUGCCGAGGGCCCACUGUGAGGAAGGUUUCUGGUGCUGGCCAUCAGUUCGUCUGUGAGAGCAUGCAGAAGGUGCUUCUGGAGUUAAGAUCACCCUUCCACAAAGGAUGAAGAAGAGAGCAAAGAAGCAGAAGAGGGAGGGUGGGAGGCCCAGCUGUGAUGAGCUGGCUGCCCUGUGAUGCAGCUCUGAAUUAGGAGCACUGGGACCCAGGAAAGAGCCGGCCAGGCACCCACCCCAGAGAUGCCAUCUAGACCUCAAGGAAGUAGCCGAACCCCAGUGAGGCUCCUCAUUAGCAUGUGCUGAACACAGUAAAAUGUCUGUGCACUUGUCUGGAGAUCGUCAAUCUUAUCAGGGACACAGUACUUUGUUAGGUACUGUUGUCUGAUGAGGUUUGGCUCAAUGACCACUCUUGUUCCUUCUUUAGUACUGUGAUCAUCUGUGAUCAACUAAUUUGGAUAGAUAUUUCUUCUGCAUUUGAAACACACAGAAAUGCACUGUAUUCCCUCCUUGGAUUCCCAAGUUUAUCCAAAAGAAAUGUUAGGCUAAUUAUAUAGGAAGAUCUUUAUCUAAGCCACAGGCAGGCAGAAAUACACAAGGUAGGAUCUCUCCAAAUUUCAGAAUGUGAUGUUAUUCCCAUGAAUUGCUCUAAUGCAUUAUUGGGACUUGAAUCAAAUGAAAGGAAAUCAAAAGUGUGUAAGAAAGACUCAUAUCUACUGGCCUAAAUUAUUCUAAGCAUCAAACAAGCAUCUUACCUUGGGGUCCUAAAAGUCACUUUUUAUUAUUUUCAUUGCAUACCCCAGAGAAGCAGACACAUAAGCAAAACCGACAAGCUCUGACAGUGUCGUUAACCAACAGUGCCAAACUUGAUCACUGUAGCACGGGAUUCCCCUCAUGGUUGUGCUGCUCUGUACAAGCAGGCUGCCCUCUAUCUACCAGGCAGACUCGGAAGGGAGGGAGGUGAGAUUGAAUUUGAGGUUUCUCAGCAAAUUAACCCCACAGUGAGUCCUUAGGAAGUCAGUCCGAUUUCCCCCAAAGCAUUAAUUGUGCGUAUCGCUCUGUUGCUUUUGAAGACAUAGUAAGUUGUUACUCUUCAUUUUGACUUUUGUUCACUGUUUCAUUCAGCAACUGUCAACCGAGUAACUAUGUAUAAGGCAAGAUGCCAGGCACCUGG
ensembl:lncRNA